rnacentral:rRNA from 1 species
AACGAACGCUGGCGGCAUGCCUAACACAUGCAAGUCGAACGAGACCUUCGGGUCUAGUGGCGCACGGGUGCGUAACGCGUGGGAACCUGCCCUUAGGUUCGGAAUAACUCCCCGAAAGGGGUGCUAAUACCGGAUAAUGUCUUCGGACCAAAGAUUUAUCGCCUUUGGAUGGGCCCGCGUUGGAUUAGCUAGUUGGUAGGGUAAAAGCCUACCAAGGCGACGAUCCAUAGCUGGUCUGAGAGGAUGAUCAGCCACACUGGGACUGAGACACGGCCCAGACUCCUACGGGAGGCAGCAGUGGGGAAUAUUGGACAAUGGGCGAGAGCCUGAUCCAGCAAUGCCGCGUGAGUGAUGAAGGCCUUAGGGUUGUAAAGCUCUUUUAGCAGGGAUGAUAAUGACAGUACCGGGAGAAUAAGCUCCGGCUAACUCCGUG